CUGGGAUACUGUUCCAUGCAUAUAGUCCCGUUACUCCAAAGGAUUUCCACCUUCAGUUUCUUUCUUAUAUCUAGUUAUAGGACGCACUAAAUUCAACUUGGAAUGUCUGCUUGAUCUGGUACCAUAAUCCACAUUGCUAACGAGCAUUUGUUCCAUAUAUUUUGUGUAAUAAUGAUACUGCGUCAAGCGAGAUAACAACUUUUUUUAGCAUGUUACAAUAAAAUUCAUGCAUUUCAAGAUUACGUUAAAGGGCAAAUGACUCGAAAAUUGACGGUGUUAUUUUUUAAUCUAAUUUGAAAGAUCGUUGAAGACUGUAGAGUAACUUUUUUUGACAGAUUUUUGUUUUCUUGCUUCGUUUUGGAGAUAUUUAAUUUUGUAUGAUAUGCAGAGGACCAACUUUCUACGUCACAUAUGCAUAAUGUAUAGCCCUAAAAUCUGUGUAUCUUUACUACGACUAAACAAAAUAAUUAGAAAACCUCCAUGGCUGGCUGUUGUUGUCGACAAAACUCGUGCUCA
rnacentral:lncRNA from 1 species